rnacentral:tRNA from 1 species
UGCAAAUCUUCCUAUUUACC